AUAUAAGAGUGUUUAUAUGUGGCAUAUUGGGAAACUGAUCAACGACAGCGGCUGACAAAAAAUAAGGAAAGAAAAACGCAUACCAAGAUCAAUUUCGAUUAAGAUUCGGAAAAGAUGGGAGACUGUGGUGGAGGAGACUUCAGCAGCAGCGGCGGCGGAGGAGACUCGAGCUUCAGCUGUGGCGACGGAGGAGGUAUCAGCAGUCACGCAGUUUCAAUGUAUGACACUCAUGCCAUGUCCACAGUGCUCUCCUCCAGUUCGACAAAUGGAAAAGGAACCUCCUGUUCUGUAUGCAAAGUGAUAUUUGUGCUUUUCGCCGUGGGAAUUGUUAUCAGCGUCGUCAUCUUUAUUGUUAUCAAUAGGUCUAUCCAGUAGCACUUCGACAGAUGCCGUGUACGAGGCACCGUUCAGUCCAGUGUGGUUGGUUUGUGGUACGCUGCCUUCUCUUUAACUUUAACUUUUUGAAUAAGCACAAAUCCUAAAGGGGCCCCCAUACACUGAACGAUUGUCUGAACGAUCGCCGUGAUCGACCCACACACACACUAUUCAUACAGUAUGAACGAUCUCCGCACCGAUUUCAGUCUGAACAAAGAAUUUGUUUCAAGAAGACAUGGCAUCAUCUCUAGAGGAGACGCGCGCGAUAGCGUUAUAUCGGCAGACAAACCCAUACAUUAAACGAUCUGUGUAUGACAGACUUAACUCGCAAACCAGCAACCUGUUCGUGACAGGUUCCCGCCGAGGUCGUUCAAACACGAAGCUCCGCCCACUUUUGCAUUCAGACAAGCCCAUACACUGUUUUAGCAAACGAUACAGACAAAUCGUUCAGUGUAUGGGAGCCUUAAGAGUCGGUUAUAUUAUUGGAACGAUUCUCUAGACUCAGUUGACUGAAUCUAGGUAUGUGAUCGAUGUGACUCGGUGGAAUAAAGAGUACAGAAACGUUUCUCGGUGAAAUGAGGUUUUAAGCAUAUGAGACUCGGGAGAAUGAGGGUGAAAGCGUGACUUAGUCGAAUGGAACUCUGGACGUGUAACUGUGAAAUGAGUCUAAAAUAUGCGUCUGACGGGAAUGAAACUCUUAGUCACCUGGUCUCGCUGAACUUCUUUAAAAAAUGAAACGUACAGCCAUUACUAUUAUAAUAACAUGUAUAUAUACAAAUAUCACACGAAGAGACUUGUGGAAUGGAAAAAUGUAAGUUAUACGAGUAUAUAUCGGCUGAAACUACAAAUCUAUAGCUGAUUCACUUAAGGUAGAUUCUUGGAUGAGCCCUAUGAUUGCGAGACGUUUGUUUGGCGGCCGCUGAUUGGCUGGUACCGGGAGGUAGGCAGUUCCCAGCCACUCAGCGCCUGCCAAACGAACGUCUCGUAGGCAUAGGGCUCACCCAAGAAUCUACCUUAAAUGAACCAGCUAUAGUCGCAUCGAAUGAUUCAAAGUGAUAUGUUCUUCGGUGCGUAAUCAAAACACGAUUUCUUGCUUUAGCUUUAACUAAGAAUAAGAGUUCUUGAAAGCUUCCGGAUGUAUGAUGUUUAACACUGAAUUUUGGAUUAUAUUAUAUGUAACUAAUUGAGGAUUUUAAUUUAUUGUGUUCACUUUAUUGUGAAGUGUAUUUGAUGUUCACCAUUCCCAUUAAUAAUUUUACUUCCACAAAUCUAAUCCUGUGAUAUGUGACCUGACUUUAUUGAAUUAGUUUAGUUUUUCAUUAUGUACAAGUUCAUAAUAAUUACUUAUUUAUUAUACUUCCAAGUGACUCUAUUGUAUGUUUUCAUCAGAAAACGGUGUAAUUGUGAUAUUGUUCAAAAGUAAUCUACUGGAGAGAGAGAGAGAGUUUGAUUUACAUCUUUCAUAUAAGACACAUUCAGAAUGUAAAAAGAAUUCUGCAAGAAAUACUGAUUUUUCAGUGUGAUUUAAAAAAUCACAAGUGUUUUUACGCUAAAGUUUUGAGAGAGAGAGAGACCAUGCGAUUAACUAUUAAAUAACUAUAUCACCUUAUGGUUAUAUUUGCUCAUUUUUCCAGGUGCCAGUUUAAUAAUAAUAUGUUUCGUUUUUAAGGUAAAUCUAUUAUGUAAAAAGCAAAGAGCAAUGAUAUUUAUAAUAAACAAUAAUAUAUUAAUAUUUCAUAUUUUUUACCCUUGGCAGAGAUUGUGAAUGAAGUUGCCGAUAAACUACAUAAUUCAAAAUAUUCUGAAAGGCUUAACAUACCAGGAUCCCCGCAAAAUCUCUAUUUAUUUAUCAUUUUUCCAUUUACCUUGAUUCUCUUUUAUGCCUUCCAUCGAUGAGAACGACUGUUCUCAGCAUAAGCGGCUCUUUGUCUUCGUUCCGAUAGAGAGAGAGAGAACUAGGAAAAUUGCCCGAGGGAAUUACCAGAAUGGCGACUCAUGUUUUUCCUAAAUUCCGAUUGGCUGCUGGAAAUCACAAAUCUGACCUUUAUCUAAAGGGUUAUAAGGAAUCUUAUAAUGAAAAAGAUUCAGUGGAAUCUAUCAAAAGCAAAUUCUUAAAACGACAAGCAACAUAUUGUACAAAAAUAAGCAAGCAAUUCAACAAAUGUAUGAAGAUGCGAAGGUGGUGUGGAAUAUCAAAGUGACACGGGUGGGAUUUCCCGUCAAUGACGUCAUGAUAUUCGAACUUGGCCUCCUUCAAGGAGAUCAUUUCAGUCUCAUGCAGUUCUGGACGUGACUGACACAAUAAGGCAUCGUGAAAAAUAAGCAUAGAAAGAAACAAGCUUCAGAUAAUAACAGUUCUUAUAUACGUGGCAUAUUGACAAACUGAUCAACGACAGCGGCUGGAGAAAAAAAAAAAAAAACAA